rnacentral:rRNA from 1 species
UACGUAGGGUGCGAGCGUUGUCCGGAAUUAUUGGGCGUAAAGAGCUUGUAGGCGGUUUGUCGCGUCUGCCGUGAAAAUUCGAGGCUCAACCUCGAACUUGCGGUGGGUACGGGCAGACUAGAGUGUGGUAGGGGAGACUGGAAUUCCUGGUGUAGCGGUGAAAUGCGCAGAUAUCAGGAGGAACACCGAUGGCGAAGGCAGGUCUCUGGGCCACUACUGACGCUGAGAAGCGUAAGCAUGGGGAGCGAACAGG